rnacentral:rRNA from 1 species
GUGAGGAAUAUUGGUCAAUGGGCGGGAGCCUGAACCAGCCAAGUCGCGUGAAGGAAGAAGGAUCUAUGGUUCGUAAACUUCUUUUGCAGGGGAAUAAAGUGCAGGACGUGUCCUGUUUUGUAUGUACCCUGAGAAUAAGGAUCGGCUAACUCCGUGCCAGCAGCCGCGGUAAUACGGAGGAUCCGAGCGUUAUCCGGAUUUAUUGGGUUUAAAGGGUGCGUAGGUGGUUUGAUAAGUCAGCGGUGAAAGUUUGCAGCCUAACUGUAAAAAUGCCGUUGAAACUGUCGGACUUGAGUGUAAAUGAGGUAGGCGGAAUGCGUGGUGUAGCGGUGAAAUGCAUAGAUAUCACGCAGAACUCCGAUUGCGAAGGCAGCUUACUAAGCUACAACUGACACUGAAGCACGAAAGCGUGGGGAUCAAACAGGAUUAGAUACCCGGGUAGUCC